rnacentral:rRNA from 1 species
GAUGAACGCUGGCGACGUGCCUAAUACAUGCAAGUCGAGCGAAUGGAUUAAGAGCUUGCUCUUAUGAAGUUAGCGGCGGACGGGUGAGUAACACGUUGGUAACCUGCCCAUAAGACUGGGGUAACUCCGGGAAACCGGGGCUAAUAGCGGAUAACAUUUUGAACCGCAUGGUUCGAAAUUGAAAGGCGGCUUCGGCUGUCACUUAUGGAUGGACCCGCGGCGCAUUAGCUAGCUGGUGAGGUAACGGCUCACCAAGGCAACGAUGCGUAGCCGACCUGAGAGGGUGAGCGGCCACACUGGGACUGAGACACGGCCCAGACUCCUACGGGAGGCAGCAGUAGGGAAUCUUCCGCAAUGGACGAAAGUCUGACGGAGCAACGCCGCGUGAGUGAUGAAGGCUUUCGGGUCGUAAAACUCUGUUGUUAGGGAAGAACAAGUGCUAGUUGAAUAAGCUGGCACCUUGACGGUACCUAACCAGAAAGCCACGGCUAACUACGUGCCAGCCGCCGCAGUAA